rnacentral:rRNA from 1 species
CCUACGGGUGGCAGCAGUGAGGGAUAUUGGACAAUGGGGGAAACCCUGAUCCAUCCACGCCGCGUGAGGGAAGAAGGCUUUCGGUAUGUAACGCUCUGUCAGCAGGGAAGAAAAUGACGGUAGCUGACUAGGAAGCUCCGGCUAACUACGUGCCAGCAGCCGCGGUAAUACGUAGGGGGCAAGCGUUAUCCGGAUUUACUGGGUGUAAAGGGUGCGUAGACGGUUGAGCAAGUCAGAAGUGAAAUGUAUGGGCUUAACCCAUGAACUGCAGUUGAAACUGCUGAACUUGAGUACAGGAGAGGUAAGCGGAAUGCCUGGUGUAGCGGUGAAAUGCGUAGAGAUCAGGAGGAACACCAGUGGCGAAGGCGGCCUACUGGGCUGUAACUGACGCUGAGGCACGAAAGCGUGGGUAGCAAACAGGAUUAGAUACCCGGGUAGUC